AAAGGAGGCAGGAGGUAAGGAAGAGAGUCAGGAGGUAAGGAAGAGUUGCAACUGGUAAGAAAGUGCUGCAGCAGGUAAGGAAGAGAGUCAGAAGGUAAGGAAGAGCUGCAGCAGGUAAAGAAGAGAUGCAACAGGUAAGGAAGAGAGUCAAGAGAUAGGGAAGAGAUGCAACAGGUAAGGAAGAGGGUCAGGAGGUAAGGAAGAGCUACAGCAGGUAAAGAAGAGAUGCAACAGGUAAGGAAGAGAGGCAGGAGGUAAGGAAGAGAGUCAGGAGGUAAGGAAGAGCUGCAACAGGUAAGGAAGAGAGUCAGGAGGUAAGGAAGAGCUGCAGCAGGUAAGGAAGAGAGUCAGGAGGUAAGGAAGAGCUGCAGCAGGUAAAGAAGAGAGUCAGGAGGUAAGGAAGAGCUGCAACAGGUAAGGAAGAGAGUCAGGAGGUAAGGAAGAGCUGCAACAGGUAAGGAAAGGAGGCAGGAGGUAAGGGAGAGAGUCAGGAGGUAAGGAAGAGCUGCAACUGGUAAGGAAGACCUGCAGCAGGUAAGGAAGAGAGUCAGAAGGUAAGGAAGAGCUGCAGCAGGUAAAGAAGAGAUGCAACAGGUAAGGAAGAGAGUCAAGAGAUAGGGAAGAGAUGCAACAGGUAAGGAAGAGGGUCAGGAGGUAAGGAAGAGCUGCAGCAGGUAAGGAAGAGAGUCAGGAGGUAAGGAAGAGCUGCAACAGGUAAGGAAGAGAGUCAGGAGGUAAGGAAGAGCUGCAGCAGGUAAGGAAGAGAGUCAGGAGGUAAGGAAGAGCUGCAGCAGGUAAGGAAGAGAGUCAAGAGAUAGGGAAGAGCUGCAGCAGGUAAGGAAGAGAGUCAGGAGGUAAGGAAGAGCUGCAACAGGUAAGGAAGAGAGUCAGGAGGUAAGGAAGAGCUGCAACAGGUAAGGAAAGGAGGCAGGAGGUAAGGGAGAGAGUCAGGAGGUAAGGAAGAGCUGCAACUGGUAAGGAAGACCUGCAGCAGGUAAGGAAGAGAGUCAGAAGGUAAGGAAGAGCUGCAGCAGGUAAAGAAGAGAUGCAACAGGUAAGGAAGAGAGUCAAGAGAUAGGGAAGAGAUGCAACAGGUAAGGAAGAGGGUCAGGAGGUAAGGAAGAGCUGCAGCAGGUAAGGAAGAGAGUCAGGAGGUAAGGAAGAGCUGCAACAGGUAAGGAAGAGAGUCAGGAGGUAAGGAAGAGCUGCAGCAGGUAAGGAAGAGAGUCAGGAGGUAAGGAAGAGCUGCAGCAGGUAAGGAAGAGAGUCAAGAGAUAGGGAAGAGCUGCAGCAGGUAAGGAAGAGAGUCAGGAGGUAAGGAAGAGCUGCAACAGGUAAGGAAGAGAGUCAGGAGGUAAGGAAGAGCUGCAUCAGGUAAGGAAGAGAUGCAACAGGUAAGGAAGAGAGUCAGGAGGUAAGGAAGAGAGUCAGGAGGUAAGGAAGAGCUGCAUCAGGUAAGGAAGAGAUGCAACAGGUAAGGAAGAGAGUCAGGAGGUAAGGAAGAGCUGCAUCAGGUAAGGAAGAGAGUCAGGAGGUAAGGAAGAGCUGCAUCAGGUAAGGAAGAGAGUCAGGAGGUAAGGAAGAGCUGCAUCAGGUAAGGAAGAGAGUCAGGAGGUAAGGAAGAGCUGCAUCAGGUAAGGAAGAGAGUCAGGAGGUAAGGAAGAGCUGCAUCAGGUAAGGAAGAGCUGCAGCAGGUAAGGAAGAGAGUCAGAAGGUAAGGAAGAGCUGCAACAGGUAUGGAAGAGAUGCAACAGGUAAGGAAGAGAGUCAGGAGGUAAGGAAGAGAGUCAGGAGGUAAGGAAGAGCUGCAGCAGGUAAGGAAGAGCUGCAGCAGGUAAGGAAGAGAGUCAGGAGGUAAGGAAGAGCUGCAACAGGUAAGGAAGAGAGUCAGAAGGUAAGGAAGAGAGUCAGGAGGUAAGGAAGAGAGUCAGGAGGUAAGGAAGAGCUGCAUAAGGUAAGGAAGAGAUGCAACAGGUAAGGAAGAGAGUCAGGAGGUAAGGAAGAGCUGCAGCAGGUAAGGAAGUGAGUCAGAAGGUAAGGAAGAGAGUCAGGAGGUAAGGAAGAGCUGCAGCAGGUAAGGAAGAGAGUGAGGAGGUAAGGAAGAGAGUCAGGAGGUAAGGAAGAGCUGCAACAGGUAAGGAAGAGAUGCAACAGGUAAGGAAGAGAGGCUGGAGAUAAGGAAUAGCUGCAACAGUAAGGAAUAGCUGCAAGAGGUAAGGAAGAGCUGCAGUGGGUAAGGAAUAGCUGCAACAGUAAGGAAGAGAUGCAACAGGUAAGGAAGAGGUGCAACAGGUAAGGAAGAAUUGCAGCAGCUAAGGAAGAGAGUUAGGAGGUAAGGAAGAGCUGCAACAGGUAAGGAAGAGCUGCAGCAAGUAAGGAAGAGCGUCAGGAGGUAAGGAAGAGCUACAGCAGGUAAAGAAGAGAUGCAACAGGUAAGGAAGAGAGUCAAGAGAUAGGGAAGAGAUGCAACAGGUAAGGAAGAGAGGCAGGAGGUAAGGAAGAGUUGCAGCAGGUAAGGAAGAGAUGCAACAGGUAAGGAAGAGGGUCAAGAGAUAGUGAAUAGCUGCAGCAGGUAAGGAAGAGAUGCAACAGGUAAGGAAGAGAGUCAGGAGGUAAGGAAGAGCUGCAGCAAGUAAGGAAGAGAUGCAACAGGUAAGGAAGAGAGUCAGGAGGUAAGGAAGAGAGUCAGGAGGUAAAGAAGAGAGUCAGGAGGUAAGGAAGAGAGUCAGGAGGUAAGGAAGAGCUGCAGCAGGUAAGGAAGAGAGUCAGAAGGUAAGGAAGAGAGUCAGGAGGUAAGGAAGAGCUGCAGCAGGUAAGGAAGAGAUGCAACAGGUAAGGAAGAGAGUCAGGAGGUAAGGAAGAGCUGCAGCAAGUAAGGAAGAGAUGCAACAGGUAAGGAAGAGAGUCAGGAGGUAAAGAAGAGAGUCAGGAGGUAAGGAAGAGAGUCAGGAGGUAAGGAAGAGCUGCAGCAGGUAAGGAAGAGAGUCAGAAGGUAAGGUAGAGAGUCAGGAGGUAAGGAAGAGCUGCAGCAGGUAAGGAAGAGAUGCAACAGGUAAGGAAGAGAGUCAGGAGGUAAGGAAGAGCUGCAGCAAGUAAGGAAGAGAUGCAACAGGUAAGGAAGAUAGUCAGGAGGUAAGGAAGAGAGGCAGGAGGUAAGGAAGAGUUGCAGCAAGUAAGGAAGAGAUGCAACAGGUAAGGAAGAGGGUCAAGAGAUAGUGAAUAGCUGCAGCAGGUAAGGAAGAGAUGCAACAGGUAAGGAAGAGAGGCAGGAGGUAAGGAAGAGCUGCAGCAGGUAAGGAAGAGAUGCAACAGGUAAGGAAGAGAGGCAGGAGGUAAGGAAGAGAGUCAGGAGGCAAGGAAGAGCUACAGCAGGUAAAGAAGAGAUGCAACAGGUAAGGAAGAGAGUCAAGAGAUAGGGAAGAGAUGCAACAGGUAAGGAAGAGAGGCAGGAGGUAAGGAAGAGUUGCGGCAGGUAAGGAAGAGAUGCAACAGGUAAGGAAGAGAGGCAGGAGGUAAGGAAGAGCUGCAGCAGGUAAGGAAGAGAUGCAACAGGUAAGGAAGAGAUGCAACAGGUAAGGAAGAGAGUCAGGAGGUAAGGAAGAGAGUCAGGAGGUAAGGAAGAGCUGCAGCAGGUAAAGAAGAGAUGCAACAGGUAAGGAAGAGAGUCAAGAGAUAGGGAAGAGAUGCAACAGGUAAGGAAGAGAGUCAGGAGGUAAGGAAGAGCUGCAGCAGGUAAGGAAGAGAGUGAGGAGGUAAGGAAGAGAGUCAGGAGGUAAGGAAGAGCUGCAGCAAGUAAGGAAGAGAUGCAACAGGUAAGGAAGAGAGUCAGGAGGUAAGGAAGAGAGUCAGGAGGUAAGGAAGAGCUGCAGCAAGUAAGGAAGAGAUGCAACAGGUAAGGAAGAGAGUCAGAAGGUAAGGAAGAGAGUCAGGAGGUAAGGAAGAGCUGCAGCAGGUAAGGAAGAGAUGCAACAGGUAAGGAAGAGCUGCAGUGGGUAAGGAAUAGCUGCAACAGUAAGGAAGAGAUGCAACAGGUAAGGAAGAGGUGCAACAGGUAAGGAAGAGCUGCAGCAAGUAAGGAAGAGAGUCAGGAGGUAAGGAAGAGCUGCAACAGGUAAGGAAGAGCUGCAACAGGUAAGGAAGAGAGUCAGGAGGUAAGGAAGAGCUGCAACAGGUAUGGAAGAGAUGCAACAGGUAAGGAAGAGAGUCAGAAGGUAAGGAAGAGAGUCAGGAGGUAAGGAAGAGAGUCAGGAGGUAAGGAAGAGCUGCAUCAGGUAAGGAAGAGAUGCAACAGGUAAGGAAGAGAGUCAGAAGGUAAGGAAGAGAGUCAGGAGGUAAGGAAGAGAGUCAGGAGGUAAGGAAGAGCUGCAUCAGGUAAGGAAGAGAUGCAACAGGUAAGGAAGAGAGUCAGGAGGUAAGGAAGAGCUGCAGCAGGUAAGGAAGUGAGUCAGAAGGUAAGGAAGAGAGUCAGGAGGUAAGGAAGAGAUGCAGCAGGAAAGGAAGAGAGUGAAGAGGUAAGGAAGAGAGUCAGGAGGUAAGGAAGAGCUGCAACAGGUAAGGAAGAGAUGCAACAGGUAAGGAAGAGAGGCUGGAGAUAAGGAAUAGCUGCAACAGUAAGGAAUAGCUGCAAGAGGUAAGGAAGAGCUGCAGUGGGUAAGGAAUAGCUGCAACAGUAAGGAAGAGAUGCAACAGGUAAGGAAGAGGUGCAACAGGUAAGGAAGAGCUGCAGCAAGUAAGGAAGAGAGUCAGGAGGUAAGGAAGAGCUGCAACAGGUAAGGAAGAGCUGCAACAGGUAAGGAAGAGAGUCAGGAGGUAAGGAAGAGCUGCAACAGGUAUGGAAGAGAUGCAACAGGUAAGGAAGAGAGUCAGAAGGUAAGGAAGAGAGUCAGGAGGUAAGGAAGAGAGUCAGGAGGUAAGGAAGAGCUGCAUCAGGUAAGGAAGAGAUGCAACAGGUAAGGAAGAGAGUCAGAAGGUAAGGAAGAGAGUCAGGAGGUAAGGAAGAGAGUCAGGAGGUAAGGAAGAGCUGCAUCAGGUAAGGAAGAGAUGCAACAGGUAAGGAAGAGAGUCAGGAGGUAAGGAAGAGCUGCAGCAGGUAAGGAAGUGAGUCAGAAGGUAAGGAAGAGAGUCAGGAGGUAAGGAAGAGAUGCAGCAGGAAAGGAAGAGAGUGAAGAGGUAAGGAAGAGAGUCAGGAGGUAAGGAAGAGCUGCAACAGGUAAGGAAGAGAUGCAACAGGUAAGGAAGAGAGGCUGGAGAUAAGGAAUAGCUGCAACAGUAAGGAAUAGCUGCAAGAGGUAAGGAAGAGCUGCAGUGGGUAAGGAAUAGCUGCAACAGUAAGGAAGAGAUGCAACAGGUAAGGAAGAGGUGCAACAGGUAAGGAAGAAUUGCAGCAGCUAAGGAAGAGAGUUAGGAGGUAAGGAAGAGCUGCAACAGGUAAGGAAGAGCUGCAGCAAGUAAGGAAGAGAGUCAGGAGGUAAGGAAGAGCUGCAACAGGUAAGGAAGAGCUGCAACAGGUAAGGAAGAGAGUCAGGAGGUAAGGAAGAGCUGCAACAGGUAUGGAAGAGAUGCAACAGGUAAGGAAGAGAGUCAGGAGGUAAGGAAGAGCUGCAGCAGGUAAAGAAGAGAUGCAACAGGUAAGGAAGAGAGUCAAGAGAUAGGGAAGAGAUGCAACAGGUAAGGAAGAGAGGCAGGAGGUAAGGAAGAGUUGCGGCAGGUAAGGAGGAUCUGCAGCAGGUAAAGAGCUGCCGCAUGUCAGAAGGAGAUGCCCAUUGGCCCGUCACUGGGGCGGAGAGACUAUCACUUGCCCCAACGGUGCUCUUUUGCUGAGUUGGAUACUUCCUUCUGUCCGUGGUUUUUCUCGGCCUCAUCUGUUCAGAGGAGCUUUGCACAGCCUGCCCAUCUCCAGAUCGCUUUCUGAGUUGAGGUGGAUGGAUGGAUGGCUGUGUGCUUUCAAGUUCUCUCAGGGCUGAAGUUUUCUGGUACUUAGUUUGAAAGUACAGUAGUUUCUAUACUCCAAAAACCUUUUUGUCCUUCCACAAACCAUGUUGAAUUGGUUGAGAUAUUCCCUGAAAAACUAAUAGCUAAAUGUGUUCUAGCAGGAUGUCCUUCCUGCAAAGACAAUUUUUAUUUUUGCAGUUUAAUAAACCUUUUCCAUGAUUUUGUAGUAGAACCAAUUAGGAAAUAUUUCUAACCCAGGAACAAAAAUCGAGUUAUAUAGUGUAAUUUAAAAGUGCAUGUGCUCCAACUCUCCCAGUUUUGCCAGGACCUAUCCAAAUGAACCUACUACCGUAUAUACUCGAGUAUAAGCCGACCCGAAUAUAAGCCGAGGCACCUAAUUUUACCACAAAAAAAACUGGGAAAACAUUGACUCCAGUAUAAGCCGAGGGUGGAAAAUUUCAGAAAUAAAAAUAGAUACCAAUAAAAUUACAUUAAUUGAGGCAUCAGUAGGUUAAAUGUUUUUGAAUAUUUACAUAAAGCUCAAAUUUAAGAUAAGACUGUUUGACUCUGAUCCAAUCAUGAUUCUCAUCUUCUUCAAUGUAAAUGUGCUUAUGUAUCCUUUUAAUAAUAAUAGAGUAAAAUAAUACAUGUAAUAAUAAUAAUAAUAAUAAUAAUAAUAAUAAAUACAGGAAAAUAAUACAUGUAAUAACAAUGAUAAGAUCAGAGUGAAACAAUAAAUGUAUUAAUAAUAAUAAAAAUAGAGUAAAAUAAAUGUAAUAGUAGCAACAAUAAUAGAGAAAAAUAAUAAAUGUAAUAAUACCAAUAAUAAUAGAGAAAAAUAAUAAAUGUACCAUAUAUUCUUGAGUAUAAGCUGACCCAAAUACAGUAGUCUCACUUAUCCAACAUAAACGGGCCAGCAGAACGUUGGAUAAGCGAAUAUGUUGGAUAAUGAGAGAUUAAGGAAAAGCCUAUUAAACAUCAAAUUAGGUUAUGAUUUUACAAAUUAAGCACCAAAACAUCAUGUUAUACAACAAAUUUGACAAAAAAGAAGUUCAAUACGCAGUAAUGCUAUGUAGUAAUGACUGUAUUUACAAAUUUAGCACCAAAAUAUUACGAUGUAUUGAAAACAUUGACUACAAAAAUGCGUUGGAUAAUCCAGAAUGUUGGAUAAGCGAGUGUUGGAUAAGUGAGACUCUACUGUAUAAGCCAACCAGGACCCUCACCUGAGUAUAAGCCGAGGGGGGCUUUUUCAGUCUUAAAAAAGGGCUGAAAAACUAGACUUAUACUCGAGUAUAUACAGUAUUUCAAUCUUUACUCUUUGCUUAACAAUGUUGCCAACUUACCAAAUUAAUUGCCCUGGCCUGCUCCUGUGCACUUUUACUUUGCAGUAGUUUGGUGUAAAGAAAAAUUGAAUUGAUGGUUGUUAUCGCAUGCUGCAAAGCAAAGUAUUCAUACAAGCACAAACACUCAGUAAGUUGGCAACCUUUCUAUGUAAUUUCAAUAUUUUCCAUCCCUUUGCAGGGAUCUGGCUGCAAAGUGCAUUAGCCUUUCUAUCAUGAGUAAAUAGAGCCCGAAGAUUAGCAAGGGGCCAUUAAGCGAGGCCAGCCAUUGUGGCAAUGGAAGAAUUUGACAAGAAUUCAGGUGUGGCGUGGAAAAGUCUUUCACCUGAAAGGUUCUUUCCAGGAUUUUGGACUCUGGACCCUUACGAGGCAAUUCCUCUUCAGGAAUUUGCAUUGAAAGGGGAAACACUAUUGGCUGGGGCUUUUGUGUGCAGAACGUCCUGUGAGUGUUUACAUAUGCAGGUGACAAAAAAACAAUAUUGUAGUCCAAAACACCUGGAGGGCCCAAGUUUGCCCAUGCUUGCUCUAUACUAUACCCCAUACUAUACCAUACCAUAAACUGUGUAUUAAUAUCAAUACUGAAAUAUUAUUAUUAUUAUUAUUAUUAUUAUUAUUAUUAUUAUUAUUAUUUUAUUAUGACACAGCAAACAAGAUAGACAUGCUGGAUUUCGUAUCAAAAAAUCACAAGUCGAACACUUCCCAAGUGUCUAGGGCUAUGUGAUGUAUUAUUAUUAUUAUUAUUAUUAUUAUUAUUAUUAUUAUUAUUAUUAUUAUUGUAUGAAACACUUCCCAAGUGUCUAGGAAUGUGAUGUAUUAUUAUUAUUAUUAUUAUUAUUAUUAUUAUUGUAUGAAACACUUCCCAAGUGUCUAGGACUGUGUGAUGUAUUAUUAUUAUUAUUAUUAUUAUUAUUAUUAUUAUUAUUAUUAUUAUUAUUAUUAUUAUUAUUAUUGUAUGAAACACUUCCCAAGUGUCUAGGAAUGUGUGAUGUAUAUUAUUAUUAUUAUUAUUAUUAUUAUUAUUAUUAUUAUUUUAUUAUGACACAGCAAACAAGAUAGAUAUGCUGGAUUUCGUAUCACAAAAUCACAAGUCGAACACUUCCCAAGUGUCUAGGACUGUGUGAUGUAUUUUCGGAUGAUGCGUGCAGAUCCCAGUAGGGUGGCCUUUUGCAGUUGGCCGAUCGUAAUUUUGUCAAUGUCUAUUGUUUCCAAAUGCCGGCUGAGAUCUUUUGGCACGGCACCCAGUGUGCCCAUCACCACCGGGACCACCUGCACUGGUUUCUGCCAGAGUCUUUGAAAAUUGAAAUAAUAAUAAUUAUUAUUAUUAUUAUUAUAUUUAUCUAUACCCUGCUUUAUCUCUCCCGAAAGAGACUCAAAGUAAUUAAAAGCAAAUAACAAAAAAGCCCUAUUCAUUCAAGUAUUUCUUUGAUCUCAUUGUAAUUUACAUGAGAGUGUCCAUUCACUGAGAGCCUACCAUACUGUGCUUGUACUGUACUCGGUACUGUGACACCGAGUGCUGUACUUCCUCAUUCCUUUCCGCAUGUUGCUGGCAGUUUUGUGGUGUUGUAAAUUAUUUAAAUUAGCCUCCUGCAUACUGUACUUUCCCAGGUAGCUUCAAGUCAAAGCGCAAACCUGAGUGCAGGUUACCUCCGAUAUGGGGUGGACUAGAUGGCUUUCAGGUCCCUCCUAAUGCAAUUUGAGGUCGAUUCGACCCCUUCCCCACAUUGUCUUUCUUCU